UACGAAGGGGGCUAGCGUUGCUCGGAAUCACUGGGCGUAAAGCGCACGUAGGCGGAUUUCUGAAGUCAGGGGUGAAAUCCUGGAGCUCAACUCCAGAACUGCCUUUGAUACUGGGAAUCUCGUAGUCCGGGAGAGGUGAGUGGAACUGCGAGUGUAGAGGUGAAAUUCGUAGAUAUUCGCAAGAACACCAGUGGCGAAGGCGGCUCACUGGCCCGGUACUGACGCUGAGGUGCGAAAG
rnacentral:rRNA from 1 species